rnacentral:tmRNA from 1 species
GGGGGUGAAAGGCUUCGACAUUAGUUCUUCCCACAAUCGACGCUGGAAGUGGAUGGCCGUCAACCACUAUAAUUUCCCGACUAAACUUGUAACUGGCAAUCAAAAUACCAAUUACGCUUUCGCCUAACUUAGUUUAGGCAAGCCAUUCUGCCGCGAUGCUCGCUAGCGGAUUACAGAGUGUCAUAAGCGAACUUUAGUAGAUUCGUUGUCCUUCCGAAUUCUGCUGAAAAAUUGUAAGGACUAGCGUGCGUUUAUUUUGUUCAUUUUUUAACCGCCCGCAAAAUACUAAAUGAAAUAUUUCAGUACACGUCAUUGCGGUAAACUUUUGGACGGGGUUUCAAUACCCCCACCUCCACAU